CUCAAGCGAAGACAUUUGAACGUAAGGAGAGGAAAUUUAUUGUUGGCAGUUAAGUUUUUAGAAUUCUGAUUUGUUUUAUGUGGUUUUGAUUCAAAAUAGGCACAUUAGCAGUUAAUGAGAGAUAGGUCUUAGCAGUUAAUGAGAGAUAGGUGUUAUUAAGCUCGUUCUUGUUGUUUAGUCCAGCUGCUCAAUCGGAGAAAAAAAUGAAUCAUAGGACAACUGCUUUACAUGUCAUAAGACUGUUAAAAGAAGUGGCUUUUAGCAUGGCAAGAUAAGGUGUGCAAGUUUACUACAGGGUUUUUACGAAAUGGAAUCUUGAGGUUCUAUAUUAGACCAAAGUCACCGGGACAAUUAAUCUUAAGUCUAUACUGGCCCAUUCUUCUGACUAUAGGUAUUUCUCAGUUCGCACACAUCAAUAUUGAGAAAUUGGACAUAGGU